UGAGGGAGAAGAGACAAUUGCAUGCUUUAAAAUAUUUUGCAACGUAAAACUGAAAAAUAUAAAAAUUUAAUGCUCAACUUAACUUGCUUUUUGCCCCAGUACUUUAUUUAACACUGCAGAGGCCAACAUUUUUCUGCUAACCAUUCUGUCUCUCUGCAAAUACAAUGAGGGAAUGUAAAUGUCAUAACUUCCCUUCUGCCACACUGUAAAGCAAUUUUUCUACUUCUGAAUUCUGGCAUCCAUGGAGGAAGGAAUCGAUUAAGA